GACCGUGCAGGGGGAGGCUGCUCCAAUCUCCAGAGCCGGCUCCCGUUUCUGCAGCGACUCUCCCAGCACCCCCUCUUCCACCCCCAAACCCCCAGCCUGGGCCGCUGGGGAGGGAGUCUUGAGAAAGGCACCAGAGGCUGGGCGGGUGCAGCUGGGCUCCUCUAGCUGAAUGUGAUCCAGGCCUUCCAGUUACUUGUCCCAGGGCAGUUGGAGUGCAGGGGCAGCCCUCCGGGGCCCACGUGUUGGCAUCAGUUUCCUCGAGCCCAGAACUCCACCGCACACAGAACUCGCGUCCCCCUUGCCACAUGGGCUCGGUCACAGAGGGGACAAACACCCGCAAGGCCCCGUGCCAGAGUGCCUUGUGCUCCCAUGAUUUUCGUUGGGCCCGGUGAAUUUCCCAGUGUCGGCCUUUGGUGGAGAGCUGCCAGCCGUGCAGAGAAACUGCUGAGGGUUUUGCCGAGAAAGCAGAAUUUUGGUGGUGGAGUGUGACAUUCUCCUCUCAGAAAUAAUACCUUUCAUUUAAGGUAAGAGAGAAGGUUUGACAUCCCGUGAAAAUAUGAUUUUCAGCCCUGUUCUGCUUGGGGUAGAGUUUUUCUGUGAGGCCUAGUUGCUGAACCAGGGAAUGAAAACCCUGGAGCUUAUGAUGGGGGAGGGGGUGAUCCCCGCAUCCACAGGACUCUUUCCAGAACACAGGCAAGUAGGGACCCUACUUUCUGGCUGUGGCUCUCCCAAGGGCCCAGUUCUACUUGAACCUCAAAGAAUUCUAUUCCCAGGCUAAAAGGGUAUAUACAUCAUAAUCCAGAACCUGAGAAUACAGUAACACUAUGUGAGUUUAAACAAAUCAGUUAAUACCCAUU
rnacentral:lncRNA from 1 species